AACUUUUGGCAACGGAUCACUUGGCUCUCGCAUCGAUGAAGAACGCAGCGAAAUGCGAUAAGUAAUGUGAAUUGCAGAAUUCAGUAAAUCAUCGAAUCUUUGAACGCACCUUGCACCCUUUGGCAUUCCGAAGGGUAUGCUCGUUUGAGUGUCAUUGUACUCUCACACUCCCGAUGCUUUUGGAUUGGGAGUGGUGGACUUGGGUGUUGCUGCUUUACUGUGGCUCACCUCAAAUGGAGUAGUGCAACUCUUGGUUGGACAUAGUACGGCGUGAUAAGUGUCUUCGCCGGCGCCUCAUUAGAGGGUGGCCGAUCGGGAGCUCUGUGCUUCAAACCGUCUUCGGACAACAUCUGACAACUUGACCUCAAAUCGAGUAGGACUACCCGCUGAACUUAAGCAUAUCAAUAAGCGGAGGCU
rnacentral:misc_RNA from 1 species